GGCGGACGGGUGAGUAACACGUGGAUAACCUACCUAUAAGACUGGGAUAACUUCGGGAAACCGGAGCUAAUACCGGAUAAUAUUUUGAACCGCAUGGUUCAAAAGUGAAAGACGGUCUUGCUGUCACUUAUAGAUGGAUCCGCGCUGCAUUAGCUAGUUGGUAAGGUAACGGCUUACCAAGGCAACGAUGCAUAGCCGACCUGAGAGGGUGAUCGGCCACACUGGAACUGAGACACGGUCCAGACUCCUACGGGAGGCAGCAGUAGGGAAUCUUCCGCAAUGGGCGAAAGCCUGACGGAGCAACGCCGCGUGAGUGAUGAAGGUCUUCGGAUCGUAAAACUCUGUUAUUAGGGAAGAACAUAUGUGUAAGUAACUGUGCACAUCUUGACGGUACCUAAUCAGAAAGCCACGGCUAACUACGUGCCAGCAGCCGCGGUAAUACGUAGGUGGCAAGCGUUAUCCGGAAUUAUUGGGCGUAAGCGCGCGUAGGCGGUUUUUUAAGUCUGAUGUGAAAGCCCACGGCUCAACCGUGGAGGGUCAUUGGAAACUGGAAAACUUGAGUGCAGAAGAGGAAAGUGGAAUUCCAUGUGUAGCGGUGAAAUGCGCAGAGAUAUGGAGGAACACCAGUGGCGAAGGCGACUUUCUGGUCUGUAACUGACGCUGAUGUGCGAAAGCGUGGGGAUCAAACAGGAUUAGAUACCCUGGUAGUCCACGCCGUAAACGAUGAGUGCUAAGUGUUAGGGGGUUUCCGCCCCUUAGUGCUGCAGCUAACGCAUUAAGCACUCCGCCUGGGGAGUACGACCGCAAGGUUGAAACUCAAAGGAAUUGACGGGGACCCGCACAAGCGGUGGAGCAUGUGGUUUAAUUCGAAGCAACGCGAAGAACCUUACCAAAUCUUGACAUCCUUUGACAACUCUAGAGAUAGAGCUUUCCCCUUCGGGGGACAAAGUGACAGGUGGUGCAUGGUUGUCGUCAGCUCGUGUCGUGAGAUGUUGGGUUAAGUCCCGCAACGAGCGCAACCCUUAAGCUUAGUUGCCAUCAUUAAGUUGGGCACUCUAAGUUGACUGCCGGUGACAAACCGGAGGAAGGUGGGGAUGACGUCAAAUCAUCAUGCCCCUUAUGAUUUGGGCUACACACGUGCUACAAUGGACAAUACAAAGGGCAGCGAAACCGCGAGGUCAAGCAAAUCCCAUAAAGUUGUUCUCAGUUCGGAUUGUAGUCUGCAACUCGACUACAUGAAGCUGGAAUCGCUAGUAAUCGUAGAUCAGCAUGCUACGGUGAAUACGUUCCCGGGUCUUGUACACACCGCCCGUCACACCACGAGAGUUUGUAACACCCGAACCGGUGGA
rnacentral:rRNA from 1 species